rnacentral:tRNA from 1 species
GACAAAGCUCAGCAGUAAAGCACUUGCCCAGUAUGGCAGAGGCCCUGGGUUCGAUUCCCAGGGCUGCCA